rnacentral:rRNA from 1 species
AGAGUUGAUCAUGGCUCAGGAUGAACGCUGGCGGCGUGCCUAACACAUGCAAGUCGAGCGGAGAUAAGUUGAAGCCUAGCGAUUCUUAUCUUAGCGGCGGAUGGGUGAGUAACACGUGGGUAACCUGCCCUGCACUGGGGAAUAACAGCUGGAAACGGCUGUUAAUGCCGCAUAUGCGCACGGAGCCGCAUGGCUUUGGGCGGAAAGAUUUAUCGGUGCAGGAUGGGCCCGCGCCGGAUUAACUAGUUGGCGGGGUAACGGCCCACCAAGGUGAUGAUCCGUAGCCGACCUGAGAGGGUGACCGGCCACAUUGGGACUGAGACACGGCCCAAACUCCUACGGGAGGCAGCAGUGGGGGAUAUUGCACAAUGGGGGAAACCCUGAUGCAGCGACGCCGCGUGAAGGAUGAAGUAUUUCGGUAUGUAAACUUCUAUCAGCGGGGAAGAAGAUGACGGUACCCGACUAAGAAGCCCCGGCUAACUACGUGCCAGCCGCUGC